rnacentral:antisense_RNA from 1 species
UCCCAGGUGACGGAGUCCUCGACGAGCACGUCGUCGCCGAAGUACGCGCCGUCGGCGAGAAUCCCGAGCGAUCGCGGGUCGUCGUAGUGCCCCGGCGCGACCUUGUCCACCUUGCCGUGGGCGAUGACGAACAGCUCGUCCGCGGCAUCACCGGCGGUCACCAGCGUGUCGCCGGCGGCGAACUCGCGCUGGGUGAACCGCUCGGCGAGCGCGUCGAGCACGUCACCCUCGAAGCCGCGCAGCACCGGCAGCUCACGGAGCUCCGCCGGGACGACCCGCACGUCCGAACCGGUGUUGACGACGGUGAUGAGGCCGUCCCCGACGACGUAGCUCAGCCGCCGGUUGACCCGGUACACGCCGCCGGCGGCCUGCACCCAGGGGAGGACACGCAGCAGCCAACGGGACGAGAUCCCCUGCAUCUGGGGGACGGACUUCGUCGUCGUCGCGAGGUUGCGCGCCGCGGCCGUACCAAGGCUCGACAGCGGCUG